UGUUGUGUGUCUUGAAUAUGCAAUUUUAUGCAAAUUUCUUGUAUGCACAGAAAGAAUGAAGCAAAGUAGUCUCUUAAUGUCCAGCCCUCCAUCCCUCAGGCUUCACAGUAGGAUCCUCACUUUUGGAACUGGAAUAUAACAUUAUGUUUCACUGCUUUUCUGAUUUUUGAGGAAGUGAGCAUGGAUUAACAGUUAAACGAUGCAAAUCUGCACUCUGACUGGCUUCUAGGUAUGUAAUUUACAGCAAACCUGAUGCUAGAAUCUCUAGUUUUUACAACAUUCAGAUGCAGAGCACAGGAGGCAGCAGAGACUAUACACAGAGAGCAGCAGGUAGAGGAGGGGCAGAGCAGCAGGCAUCUGCUACACUCUGGGACAGGUGGUCUGGAGCAAAUAAAUGGAUUGUUUUGACAUUUUUACUUAGGUACGAGGAAGGUGAGUGCAGGGAGUAGAAAGAGCAGAGAUAUCUGGACUGAGAACCAUAAAAGCUUGGAAAAGACCACUAAGACUACCUAACUGAACUAUCAACCCACCACCACCACCUUGCCCACUAAACCGUGUCCCUCCAUUCCACAUUUACACAUCAUCUCCAGGGACAGCGACUUCACCACCUCCCUGAAUUUGGGGUUUGGAAUGAAAGAGGAAUUGGUGCAGUAUGAGAAGAAACACCUACAAUAAGAUAUUUGGAGAGUUUGCUUUGACUCAUUUGGAAGAAACCUUGAGGAAGGUCAGCAGUCAUAGCUGAAACAUCACUUUCUUGAGUCACUGUCAAAAUAAACAAUUUAGGCUAGCACAG
rnacentral:lncRNA from 1 species